AAAGCCCCGCCCAAAGACCACGCCCCUUCGGACGCGCUCCAGAGGCCCCGCCCAGGACACGCCCCCUCCAAAAAGACCACGCCCCUGAGAUAACGCGCCCCCCGAGGCCACGCCCCUGGGACGCGCCUCUGCAGACCUGUGCCCCGCGGAAGGCGCGUUCUGCGGGUCUGCUGUCUGCCUGCAUCUGGGUGUCCGUGUUUCUCGGUCCCUGUCUGUGACUGCUACAUUUCCGUGUGUCUCUCCUGCACCCUGAGUGUCUCUGUGUCUCUCUGCCGUCCUCUGUCUCUGUCUCCCUGAGUGCUUAGAUGUCUCUCUCUAGAUUUCUGUGUCCUUCUUUCUCUCUGCGUCUCUCCCCGCAUCUCCCCUUCUCUCUGAAUUUCUCUGCGUCCCCGUCCAUCUUCAGGUCUCUCCCUCUAGCCCCUCCGCCUCUCUCUGUCUCUGUCCCUCUCUGCCGCCUGCGUCCCCCGCCGGCCCGCGGGGGCGCCCUGCCUUCCCUGGUUCCACUCAUUCAGACGGCUUCGGCGGCGCCGGCGGGGUGGGCGGCUCGGCGGGCCGCGGGCGCCCCCGUGUGGCUGGCACGGGGCGGUCCGGAGAGGCCAGAGAUCGGAGUGGGUGCAGGAGGGACGCUGAGGGUGUCCCGGAGCUGGUGUGUAACCCCAGGGGACUGUGCGAGCGCGUGCUACUGUGGGGUUGUGCGUGAUGCCAGAGGUGGUGUGCCGCUCCGUGAGCUUGUGAGAUUUUGUGUGACAAUCAGAGACUGCGUGUGACUGUGGGAAAUCGUGUUGCGCCUUGAGGAUGUGUGUGUGUGACUGUGUAUGUGAGAUGAGAGAGAUGACGUAGAGGUGACUGUGUGUGACACUGUGACGUCGGGUGUGCCUGGGACACUAUUUAGGAGACAGUUUGUGACAUCCAGAGACAUAGGGGAGAGUGGGAGAUUGUGAGAGCGUGCAACGUGGUGAGGACAUGAGCGCUGUGUGUGUCACGUGAGCAGAUGCUGUAUUAGAGAGAGUAAUUAUGAAUGAAGGUGACACCAAGAGAUGGUGUCAGAAGGCGGUGUGAGAGGCCCCUGGAGGACUGGGUGUGACAGAGAGGCUGUGUGAGUGUGAGACACUAGGUGUCAGCCACACUGAUGAUCUGUGAGGAACCGUGUGUGACUGUGUGUGACACAGAUCGCGUGGGAUGCUGAGACAGUGUUGCGACGGUGAGUGAGAGAGUGUGCAACUGUGCAGGGCACUCAGAGAUGAGAGUGAGAGAGAGAGACCUUGUGUGUGUAAGUGUGCAACACCGGGAGAUUGCUGUGUGUGGGCGAUGGCUGUGUGUGAGACAGACUGAGUGAGGCUGAGCAAGAGAUCCUGUAUGUGACAGUGUGUGGGGGCACACUGUGUGACUCUGUGUGAGGGAAUGUGUGUGACAACGAGAGAUUGUGCAAGAAUGAGUGUGCCUGUUUGUGGGAGUCAGUGGAGAUGUGACUGUGUUACUGUGUCAUACUACCAAAAAUGUGACACUGCUCGACACAGAGGCAGCCCGGGAAAUGACAGGUCCUCGUGUGAGACACUGAGAAAGCGUGUGUGAGGCUGUGAUAGGGUGUGAGACAGAAGGAACUCUCCAUUCAUGGCAACGUGUGUGACAUCUUGAGAGAUCGUGUGUGACACUGCGGAACUGGUUUGCACCCUUGACACUCUGGAUGGCAUAUCUGAUGGUGGUUGUGCGAGAUGUCAUUGGCGAUGAUGUGCCACCCUGUGAGAGGUUGUGAGGGACUGUGGGUGGCAUUUUGAGAGCCCGUGUGACUGUGGCGCUGUGAGAGGUUGUGUGUUGAGCACAGGUUGAUUGUGAGAUUGUGAGACUGGGGGACCCAGCGAGAUAUUGUGCAUCUCCAUGCAAAGGACCACGAGUGUGAGCCUGUGUGCUGAGAGGGGUCGUCUGAGAUGGGGUGACACCGAGGUGAUGGGGGUAACAGGGUGGGAGAGAGCAUGUGUGAUGGAGCAAGAGCCCGUGCGGGACACACAGGAGGGAUUUGUGUGGCUGUGGCAUAAAUGCAGCAGGGCGUGGGGCACACCUCGGGAGGCUGUCUUUUCAUGUGUGUGAGAGAGACAGAGACAGAGAGAGAUGGAGAGGAGACACUGGGAGAGAGAUGGAGAGAGACACAGAGAGCGGAGGAGACAGAGACACAGAAACGGAAAGACAAAGAGUGGGACAGACAGACAUGGACAGAGGACCCAGAGAGACAGACCCAGCGGUAGAGACAGCGGGAGGAGGCGGGUCCUCAGGGGCUGCGCCCCAGGGGAGGGGGCGGGGCGGAGCUGGGGCGGGGGGACCCAAAGGCUGCCUCCCAGCCUCUGCCACCAGCCCGCCAUCCCAGCCCUGAGCAGCAACAGCCAUGUCCAACAACAUGGCCAAGAUCGCGGAGGCCCGCAAGACGGUGGAACAGCUGAAGCUGGAGGUGAACAUCGACCGCAUGAAGGUGUCGCAGGCGGCGGCCGAGCUCCUAUCGUUCUGCGAGACGCACGCUAAAGACGACCCGCUGGUGACGCCGGUGCCGGCCGCAGAGAACCCCUUCCGCGACAAGCGCCUCUUCUGCGUCCUGCUCUGAGCCUUCCCGACAGCCUACCCUCCCCUGCCAAAGUAUGAAUCCAAUAAACGUGGUGACUGUGUUGGUUCCUGUGCUGUCGGGGAAACUGAGGCACGCGCAGAGCCUGGGGCCACCGUGGGGGAACCUGUGUUCCUUCUCAUCUUUUCUGAGUGCGUGUGGAGUGUGGAGGAGUGGGGGUGAGGAUGUCCUGGGUGUCUCAGCACCCAGGAGGUAAUGGGGUGAAGACUGUGGACUCCAGCGGGCCGCAACCCUCAGCUGGCCUCGCUCCUCUGCUCCCUCCUGGGCUGGAGAUUCUAGGAGCCCGGGUGCUGGUCCCACCUUUUUCAUCCCCUGAAUGACUCCACCCCUUUUUCCCCAUCUGGCUGCCCCCUGCCACAGGCCUACCUCUGUCCUUAAGCACCGAACUCUGUUCAUUUAUUCAUUCCUUCAUUCCUUCUUCCAAGGACUCCCUGAGUACCUGCUCUGUGACCCUCCUGUGCUGGGUGAACCUGGGGACAUGGCUGUGACCGGCACAGCCCUGCCGCUGCCCUCCUGGGGCUCAUAAUCCAGUGGGAGAGACAGACCUGUCCCCAGCUAGUGAUGACCCAGAGUGG
ensembl:lncRNA